GCAACCAUGAAAUGGUUGUGAGCCACCAAAUGCCUUUAGCAUAUUUCAUAAUUGAAUGUCAUUGAACAACGUCUCGCUGAAUUGUUUGGUUAUUGUGAAAAAUUAAUUGCAGUCAAUGCAGAGAACACAUGCCAUUCACAAGCACUCC